UACGUAGGCAGCGAGCGUUGUUCGGAAUUCUGGGCGUAAAGGGGUGUGUAGGCGGUGCUCUAAGUUCGGUGUGAAAUCUCCCGGCUUAACUGGGAGGUGCGCCGGAAACUGGAGUGCUCGAACGUGGGAGAGGAAAGCGGAAUUCCUGGUGUAGCGGUGAAAUGCGUAGAUAUCAGGAGGAACACCUGCGGUGUGAUGACGGCUUUCUGGACCAUUGUUGAC
rnacentral:rRNA from 1 species